rnacentral:rRNA from 1 species
UACGAAGGGUGCAAGCGUUACUCGGAAUUACUGGGCGUAAAGCGUGCGUAGGUGGUUUUUUAAGUCUGUUGUGAAAGCCCCGGGCUCAACCUGGGAAUGGCAAUGGAUACUGGCAGGCUAGAGUGCGGUAGAGGGUAGUGGAAUUCCCGGUGUAGCGGUGAAAUGCGUAGAGAUCGGGAGGAACACCAGUGGCGAAGGCGGCUACCUGGACCAGCACUGACACUGAGGCACGAAAGCGUGGGGAGCAAACAGG